rnacentral:tRNA from 1 species
GGAGCUGAGGCUUAGUGGCCAGAGCAUCUGGUUUGCCUACCAAAGGUCUUGGGUUCAAUCCCUGGUAUCUCCA